GGGAGGAUGGAGGGCAGAGGGGACAGAGGUGUGUCUAGUCCCUACAGUGGAGGGAGGGGGAUGGAGGGCAGAGGGAACAGAGGUGUGUCUAGUCCCUACGGUGGAGGGAGGAUGGAGGGCAGAGGGGACAGAGGUGUGUCUAGUCCCUACAGUGGAGGGAGGAUGGAGGGCAGAGGGGACAGAGGUGUGUCUAGUCCCUACGGUGGAGGGAGGAUGGAGGGCAGAGGGGACAGAGGUGUGUCUAGUCCCUACAGUGGAGGGAGGAUGGAGGGCAGAGGGGACAGAGGUGUGUCUAGUCCCUACGGUGGAGGGAGGAUGGAGGGCAGAGGGGACAGAGGUGUGUCUAGUCCCUACAGUGGAGGGAGGAUGGAGGGCAGAGGGGACAGAGGUGUGUCUAGUCCCUACGGUGGAGGGAGGAUGGAGGGCAGAGGGAACAGAGGUGUGUCUAGUCCCUACAGUGGAGGGAGGAUGGAGGGCAGAGGGGACAGAGGUGUGUCUAGUCCCUACGGUGGAGGGAGGAUGGAGGGCAGAGGGAACAGAGGAGUGUCUAGUCCCUACAGUGGAAGGAGGAUGGGAUGGAGGGCAGAAGCCGGGAAGUGGUUCCUCCCCGUCAGGCUUUCCCUUCCCAGGCGUCGUCUCUCUGUUUAGCUGCCAGACGCUUCUGCUCUGAAAGACAGACAGACAGGUUGAUAAGAGAGUAAAUCAAUACUACUACUAGCUGUCAAUACAAUCAUAAAGACAAAGACUAGUUCCACUUGAAAGGAGCAACAUGUAAUAUAUCAGCCUUCAUUUCUUCAGGGUUUUGUGAAAGACACUAAGAGAAGUCCUGAAAGGCCCAGUACUGCCUCUGACCGUAUCACUGUCCAGAACACAUCUGUAGAAAGGACAUGAAGAAACGCAUUGCUAAUGUUUUU
ensembl:lncRNA